rnacentral:lncRNA from 1 species
AAGAAGUAAAAAUGAGCUAUGGGCUCACUCCAUUUUAAAUGUUUCUAGUGUGUUUGUUAGUUCAUAGGUUCAUUUAAAUGAGAAGAUGCAGUGGAUGAAGAUAAGGCGUGCUAAAACAUACGCACCAAGGCUGAGGGACACAGACAAGCACUGGAUAAGAAACUGUGCUUCCUGAGAAGGCUUGUUCAUCAUGUGUAAGGAUGUGAACUCAAGGAAUGAAGCUAUGACAUUUGGAGUCUGUGUGGGUGACAACAGGGAAUGAGAAGUCUGGCUUCCUGGAGAUACUGAGUCUGAACAUGCACACAGAGGAUGAAAAGUGAGAUGAUCAGACCUGAGCCCCACAUAGGAAGUUGCCAAAUAAAUAUUCUGUGGUGGUAAGUGUCUCA